rnacentral:rRNA from 1 species
UACGAAGGGGGCUAGCGUUGCUCGGAAUGACUGGGCGUAAAGGGCGCGUAGGCGGACGGCUUUGUCGGGCGUGAAAUUCCAGGGCUUAACCUUGGGGGCUGCGUUCGAGACGGGUUGUCUAGAGUUUGGAAGAGGGUCGUGGAAUUCCCAGUGUAGAGGUGAAAUUCGUAGAUAUUGGGAAGAACACCGGUGGCGAAGGCGGCGACCUGGUCCUUGACUGACGCUGAGGCGCGAAAGCGUGGGGAGCAAACAGG